UUAAGAAAUGACACCCGAAUUACGCCAAAGCAUGUGUACUCGGAAGUUAAGCGUGCUUGGGCCAGAGUAGUACUAGGAUGGGUGACAUCCUAGGAAGUCCUCGUGUUGCAUCAU
rfam:Oryza rufipogon genomic scaffold, chr11